rnacentral:lncRNA from 1 species
AACAGAUCCUCUCUCAAUGUGACACAUCUUUCCCCCCCCUCGAUAACCCCCAAGGUUCGGGUAUGAAAAUAGAACAUCGUCAUGCUCUGAUCCCAUAUCUCCACAUAGUUUUGCUAACAGGCGCGUGCGCGCGGUGGCUGUGGUUUGAUGUAGUUUUAACAAUUGAAGUUACCUGCUGCAGUAUAUCUCAGAGUUCUGUGCUCAGGUCUUUUCCCGUCAGUUUCUCUCGUUGUGUGUAUCAUACAAUGUGUCUACAUGACAGAGGCAGACCCAUUCAUAUUUAGAGUGUACAGUAGAGGUCUGCGCUCAUGUCCCACCAGAGAUGGGGCUCCAUCUGUGCAAAAAUCCCACCAUUCGAUCCAAUGGAAUCUGUUUUUUAGUCUAUAAAGCCACGUAGCACACUGAAUAUCCCCUGCGAGACAGAUCAAUAUGUCUUAGUGAACAGCAUCCAUCCAUCCCCCCCCCGACAAGUAUAGCGAACAAAAGUCAAUGCAUGGGGUACCUUGGUCCUCACAGCUUAACGUCCAUUUGGUGUGUAUUUUCAGUUAGUUUCCUCUUGAUUGCUAUUCCUCUGCCUCCUCAUACUUUGUUUUCACCAUAUUAAUGUCAAAGUCUCUGCGGUAGUGUGUGGUUUCAUAGCGUAGCAGGCCUAGCCAUUCACAGUGGGAAUGAUUCAAGUUCAAAGGUCAAGUGUGACCAUGAUCUAAGGGCCCUCUGGUUGAAUUCUAUUGUUUUUUUUUAUUCAAAUAUUUUUUUAUUUAGAUGUUUAAGGUUUACCACAUUACAAUGAUUUUGAGAUACAAAGACAAUACUAUACAGUGCAUUAUACAAGUGUUCAGACCCCUUGGCUUUUUCCACAUUUUGUUACGUUACAGCCUUAUUCUAAAAUGGAUUAAAUUGUUUUUUUUCCCUUCAUCAAUCUACACACAAUACCCCAUAAUGACAUCACAAUACCCCAUAAUGACAUCACAAUACCCCAUAAUGACAUCACAAUACCCCAUAAUGACAUCACAAUACCCCAUAAUGACAUCACAAUACCCCAUAAUGAUUAAGCAAAAAUUGUUUUUUUUUAUAAAUGUUUGCAAAUCUAUAUAUCUAAAAAAAAAAUGAAAUAUCACAUUUACAUAAGUAUUCAGACCCUUUACUCAGUACUUUGUUGAAGCACCUUUGGCAGCGAUUACAGCCUCGAGUCUUCUUGGGUAUGACGCUACAAGCUUGGCACACCUGUAUUUGGGGAGUUUCUCCCAUUCUUCUCUGCAGAUCCUCCCUGACCCAGGCCCUUCUCCCCAGAUGGCUCAGUUUGGCUCUUGGAAGAGUCUUUGUGAUUCCAAACUUCUUCCAUUUAAGAAUGAUGGAGGCCACUGUGUUCCUGGGGACCUUCAAUGCUGCAGACAUGUUUUGGUACCCUUCCACAGAUCUGUGUCUCAACACAAUCCUGUCUCGGAGCUCUACGUACAAUUCCUUCGACCCCAUGGCUUGGAUUUCGCUCUGACAUGCACUGUCAACUGUGGGACCUUAUAUAGACAGGUGUGUGUCUUUCCAAAUCAUGUCCAAUCAAUUGAAUUUACCACAGGUGGACUCCAAUCAAGUUGUAGAAACAUCAAGGACGAUCAAUGGAAACAGGAUGCACCUGAGCUCAAUUUAGAGUCUCAUAGCAAAGGGUCUGAAUACUUACAUAAAUAUGGUAUUACUGAUUUGUAUUUGUAAUAAACCUGUUUUUGCUUUGUCAUUAUGGUGUAUUGUGUGUAGAUUGAUGUGAUGAAUUUUUUUUACUUAAUCCAUUUUACAAUAAGGCUGUAAUGUAACAAAAUGCAGAACAAGUCAAGGAGUCUGAAUACUUUCAGAAUACACUGUAGUUAGUGGAGGUUAGUUAGUGGAGGUUAGUUAGCUGAGGUUAGUUAGUGGAGAUUAGUUAGUGGAGAUUAGUUAGUGGAGAUUAGUUAGUGGAGCUUAGUUAGUGGAGAUUAAUUAGUGGAGGUUAGUUAGUUGAGGUUAGUUAGUGGAGGUUAGUUAGUGGAGGUUAGUUAGUGGAGAUUAGUUAGUGGAGGUUAGUUAGUGGAGAUUAGUUAGUGGAGGUUAGUUAGUGGAGGUUAGUUAGUGGAGGUUAGUUAGUGUUGGUUAGUUAGUGGAGAUUAGUUAGUGGAGGUUAGUUAGUUGAGGUUAGUUAGUAGAGAUUAGUUAGUGGAGGUUAGUUAGUGGAGGUUAGUUAGUGGAGGUUAGUUAGUGGAGGUUAGUGGAGGUUAGUUAGCAGAGGUUAGUUAGCGGUGGUUAGUUAGCGGUGGUUAGUUAGUGGAGGUUAGUUAGCAGUGGUUAGUUAGCGGUGGUUAGUUAGUGGAGGUUAGUUAGUGGUGGUUAGUUAGUGGAGGUUAGUGGAGGUUAGUUAGUGGAGGUUAGUUAGUGGAGGUUAGUUAGCGGUGGUUAGUUAGUGGAGGUUAGUUAGUGGAGGUUACUUAGUGGAGGUUACUUUGUGGAGACUAGUUAGUUGAGGUUAGUGGAGGUUACUACAGGUUAGUUAGUGAAUGUUAGUUAGUUGAGGUUACUUAGUGGAGGUUAGUUCAGUUACGUUACAUAGCUCUUUCCUCUCCUCUGUCACGGUGUGUAGUGGUGUGGAAUAAGAUCCAGACAUAUCUCUUUCCUCUGUCACGGUGUGUGGUCAUUUCUAUUCCCUCUUCUGAAUAACAAACAUGGCCGUCAGAAGACAGUGCUGUCCCAAAUGGCACCCUGGUCAGUGCACUAUACAGGGAAGAGGGGACCCUUUGGGAUUCGGACUGUGGCACCCUGGACAGUGCACUAUACAGGGAAGAGGGGG